rnacentral:rRNA from 1 species
UACGAAGGGGGCUAGCGUUGCUCGGAAUCACUGGGCGUAAAGCGCACGUAGGCGGUUUCUUAAGUCAGGGGUGAAAUCCUGGAGCUCAACUCCAGAACUGCCUUUGAUACUGGGAGACUUCGAGUCCGGAAGAGGUGAGUGGAACUGCGAGUGUAGAGGUGAAAUUCGUAGAUAUUCGCAAGAACACCAGUGGCGAAGGCGGCUCACUGGUCCGGUACUGACGCUGAGGUGCGAAAGCGUGGGGAGCAAACAGG